rnacentral:rRNA from 1 species
AUUGAACGCUGGCGGCAGGCUUAACACAUGCAAGUCGAACGCUGCAGCAAUGCAGAGUGGCAGACGGGUGAGUAACGCGCGGGAACCUUCCCAGUGGUACGGAAUAGCCCAGGGAAACUUGGGGUAAUACUGUAUAAGCCCCUAGGGGGAAAGAUUUAUCGCCAUUGGAUGGGCCCGCGUCGGAUUAGCUAGUUGGUGAGGUAAUGGCUCACCAAGGCGACGAUCCGUAGCUGGUCUGAGAGGAUGAUCAGCCACACUGGGACUGAGACACGACCCAGACUCCUACGGGAGGCAGCAGUGGGGAAUAUUGGACAAUGGGCGCAAGCCUGAUCCAGCCAUGCCGCGUGAGUGACGAAGGCCUUAGGGUUGUAAAGCUCUUUUGGCGGGGACGAUAAUGACGGUACCCGCAGAAUAAGCUCCGGCUAACUUCGUGCCAGCCGCCGCGGUAA